rnacentral:rRNA from 1 species
GACAGAGGGUGCAAACGUUGUUCGGAAUUACUGGGCGUAAAGCGAGUGUAGGCGGUUCUCAAAGUCGGAUGUGAAAGCCCCGGGCUCAACCCGGGAAGUGCACCCGAUACUGGAGAGCUAGAGUAUCGGAGAGGUUGGUGGAAUUCUCGGUGUAGAGGUGAAAUUCGUAGAUAUCGAGAGGAACACCGGUGGCGAAGGCGGCCAACUGGACGAAUACUGACGCUGAGACUCGAAAGCGUGGGGAGCAAACAGG